ACUACCUCAAAACCAAAUGAUCAACCCAAUUAUCCCAGUGAAAAUACGGCGGGUAAACAUCCUGCUGAAAAGACAGGGUCCAUUGGAGUCAUUUUAGCGUCCAUAUUGUCGGUUACAUUUGUUGUGGCCUGCCUGGGUAUGUUUGCCUUUUCACCGGAACGCCGUAAUAUGGUGAGACGUCUGUUUAAUAGAUCCAGCUCAGCUGUAAGAUAUAGACGAGUAAACAAUAGCGAAGAAGGUAAUUUGCUGUUAAAUCCUAAUGGAGAAUUUACCGAAUCCGAUGAUGAAGAUAUGCUGCUCUAAAGAAAGCCAAAAACUUUGCCACUACU